GUGGAUUAGAUACCCUAGUAGUCCAUGCCGUAAACGAUGAAUACUAGGUGUGGGGGGACUGACCCCUUCCGUGCCGGAGUUAACACAAUAAGUAUUCCACCUGGGGAGUACGACCGCAAGGUUGAAACUCAAAGGAAUUGACGGGGGCCCGCACAAGCAGUGGAGUAUGUGGUUUAAUUCGAAGCAACGCGAAGAACCUUACCAGGUCUUGACAUCUGGCUAACGAAGUAGAGAUACAUUAGGUGCCCUUCGGGGAAAGCCAAGACAGGUGGUGCACGGUCGUAGCCAGCU
rnacentral:rRNA from 1 species